AUACGGAGGGUGCAAGCGUUACUCGGAAUCACUGGGCGUAAAGCGCGCGCAGGCGGUCUUUUAAGUUGGCUGUGAAAGCCUACGGCUCAACCGUAGAACUGCAUCCAAAACUAUUAGACUAGAGUGUGGGAGAGGAAGAUGGAAUUAGUUGUGUAGGGGUAAAAUCCGUAGAGAUAACUAGGAAUACCAAAAGCGAAGGCAAUCUUCUGGAACACUACUGACGCUGAGGCGCGAAAGCGUGGGGAGCAAACAGGAUUAGAAACCCCAGUAGUCC
rnacentral:rRNA from 1 species